GGCAUGAUUGCCCAAUCGCAGAGGUGGGACACUUUCUAUAAAAGCUUCAGCCUCGGGCGCGUGCUUUCUUUUGGGAAUCCAGUGGCGGCCGUGGGCAUUUUGUCUGUGCGGUCGCUGCGAGUCCACGUUAGGGGAGGAUCUGGGCCCCGAAUGGGGCUGAGGGGUCCUCCAGGGCCAUCAUCCGCCGGGGCUCCGCCUCUGUCUUCAGCGUUGUACGCGUUCCUUGCUCCGCCCGCCUCCCCCCCCCCCCCCCCGCAACCGGUCCCGUUCUGUUGGGAAGGUGCGACUCCAGACCGACUUCUCUCCGCAGGGCGGUCGGUGACGUGGUUGGAGACCGUGGACGUAAAUGAACGUCAGCCCGGGGCCUGGUGGUAAGGCGGGAGUCCACGUCCGUAUCUGCGGCGCUUAACAAUAAAGCAGAGGUGGUGAGUUGA